CUUAUGCAUCUACCUAUCUUCCCU
rnacentral:sRNA from 1 species